rnacentral:rRNA from 1 species
GAGUGAACGCUGGCGGUAGGCCUAACACAUGCAAGUCGAACGGCAGCACAGUAAGAGCUUGCUCUUACGGGUGGCGAGUGGCGGACGGGUGAGGAAUACAUCGGAAUCUACUUUUUCGUGGGGGAUAACGUAGGGAAACUUACGCUAAUACCGCAUACGACCUACGGGUGAAAGCAGGGGAUCUUAGGACCUUGCGCGAUUGAAUGAGCCGAUGUCGGAUUAGCUAGUUGGCGGGGUAAAGGCCCACCAAGGCGACGAUCCGUAGCUGGUCUGAGAGGAUGAUCAGCCACACUGGAACUGAGACACGGUCCAGACUCCUACGGGAGGCAGCAGUGGGGAAUAUUGGACAAUGGGCGCAAGCCUGAUCCAGCCAUACCGCGUGGGUGAAGAAGGCCUUCGGGUUGUAAAGCCCUUUUGUUGGGAAAGAAAAGCAGCAGGUUAAUACCCCGCUGUUCUGACGGUACCCAAAGAAUAAGCACCGGCUAACUUCGUG